AUGAUCAGAUGUAGAACAGAAAUCUUAGUAGGUUCAAUAAAAAACAUUUUCUGAGAAAGGUGAUUUACAGAAAAUGGUAAUGUGUCAGACAUCUAACUUGUUAUUAUAUCUGAAGAACCUUCUACUCUACUGGAACCGACGUGGCACUUCACUAGUUUUUCAGAACUCAACUAGAUUACAGCCUGGAGUUAAGUCAGUGCCCUAUCUGCAUGUUGUAAUUGUUUUGGUAGUCAGGUGUUGACGAAGAUUCCAUAUGACUUACACAGAUCAUAGGUUCCAUUUGGAGAACUAGGAAAAAGACUGACUGUUUUUAGC
rnacentral:lncRNA from 1 species